UACAGAGGUCCCAAGCGUUGUUCGGAUUCAUUGGGCGUAAAGGGUGCGUAGGCGGCGCGGUAAGUCGGGUGUGAAAUCUCGGGGCUUAACUCCGAAACUGCAUUCGAUACUGCCGUGCUUGAGGACUGGAGAGGAGACUGGAAUUUACGGUGUAGCGGUGAAAUGCGUAGAUAUCGUAAGGAAGACCAGUGGCGAAGGCGGGUCUCUGGGCCGGUACUGACGCUAAGGAGCGAAAGCGUGGGGAGCGAACAGG
rnacentral:rRNA from 1 species